ACCCCUUCUCUGAAAAUGGUACUGUAGCAGUACCUUCUUUCUCUCCCUCUCUUCUCUUCGGCUCUCUCAAUUUUCUGCACUCUAUUUUCUUCUCUUCUAUCCCACUCUUACUUCUCAUUACAACCAAAACUUAUUAUUCAAAACCUCAACCGUGACUUCCCAUGGACCAAGACAAAAAACCUUUUCCCUAUUUUCCUCCCCAAAACAAGGAAAGGUGUUGUCCACCUUUGGUUUGUUUAAUCUAAAGUAUAUGGCCACUUGGCCACAUAAUCCAACAAUCUCCACCUUGGCCAAGUUCCGAAAACGCCAUGAUAAGCCAACCAACACAAUUAGCACACAACAUCACUCCCAAACACUAGCAAGAGAACAACUCAUGCUGAGCCAAAUGCUCCAAAACUCCUACUACUCAACGCCUUCUUUAUAUAGGCAAAAUGUGAGCCAAGUUCAAACAGUGAACAAACUUGGCUACACCAACAACCUUAGUCAACAUAUCAGCGGGGUUGUCUUUAGUUGGAAUCUUCUGGAGAAUGAUUUCCCCUUCACCAACAAUUUCACGAACAAAGUGAUAACGCACAUCUAUGUGCUUGGUCCUCGCAUGAUGAACCUGAUACUUAGCCAAAUAAAUGGCACUCUGACUAUCACAAUGUACCUCCACCUGCUUCUGAUCAACCCCCAAAUCUCUAAUAAGCCCAUGUAUCCAAAUGGCCUCCUUUAUAGCUUCAGCAACUGCCAUAUAUUCAGCCUCUGUAGUAGACAAGGCAACAGACGACUGCAAAAUGGACCUCCAACAAACUGGCCCUUUAGCCAUAGUAAACACAUAGCCUGUAGUAGACUUCCUUCCAUCCAGAUCACCUGCAUAAUCUGAAUCAACAUAACCAACUGCAAAAUGACCAAUACCAGAGUCAUCCCUCUCAAAGCAUAAACCAACAUCUCGAGUACCAUGGAGAUACCUCAAUAUCCACUUAGCUGCUUGCCAAUGCUCUUUACCUGGAUUAUGCAUAUAUCGACUCACCAUGCCAACUGCAUGAGCAAUAUCCGGUCUAGAGCAUACCAUUGCAUACAUCAAACUACCAACCAAAUUUGCAUAUGGUAUAUUUUUCAUUUGCAGUUUCUCUUUAUCGGUUUUAGGACAUUGUAGAGAACUCAAUUUAAAAUGAGGAGCCAAAGGGGUACUAACCGGUUUGGUUGAAUCAUGAACUCCAAACUUCCGAAUCAACUUCUCAAGGUAUUGUUUUUGAUUCAAACUGACGAAACCCUUUGCUCUAUCUCUAGUGAUCUCCAUGCCAAGGAUCUUCUUCGCUUCACCAAGAUCCUUCAUCUCAAACUCAUUCUUCAUUUGCUUCUUCAAUUUCUCAAUCUCUUCGACAUUCUUUGAGGCAAUCAACAUAUCAUCAACAUAUAUCAAUAAAUAAAUGAAAGACCCAUCUUGCAACUUCUUGAAGUACACACAAUGAUCAUAUUGACUUCUAGAAUAAUUUUGGCCUCUCAUAAAUUUAUCAAACCUCAAAUACCAUUGCCUUGGAGAUUGCUUCAAACCAUAAAGUGAUUUCUUCAAUUUGCAAAACAAAUUCUCCUUCCCUUUCACUAUAUACCCAUCUGGUUGACACAUAUAAAUCUCUUCAUUCAAAUCACCAUGUAGGAAAGCCGUUUUUACAUCAAGUUGCACAAGCUCAAGAUCAUACUGUGCAACAAGAGCUAACAUAAUGCGAAUUGAGGAGUGCUUCACAACCGGAGAAAAGAUUUCAUUGUAGUCAAUGCCCUCCUUUUGUGCAUACCCUUUAGCAACUAAUCUUGCUUUAAAUCUCACAUUGCUUUUCUCAUCAGCAUCUUCCUUCUUGGCAUACACCCAUUUGCAACCAAUAGCUUUCUUGCCCUUAGGCAAUUUAGCUAACUCCCAAGUCUUGUUCUUCAAGAGAGAAUUCAUCUCAUCACCCAUGGCAUUGCACCACCUAUUCUUCUCCUCACUCUCAAUAGCUUCCUCAAAAUUGGAUGGAAUCUCUUCAGUGAUAAUAGGAAGAGCAAAAGCAACAUAAUCACUAUACCGAGCUGGCUUAGUAAUUUGUCUCUUUCCUCUGUUCUUGGCAAUAGACUCUUGAGGUGAAACUUGCUCUUCAACUUGAAUAGAAUCUUCAAGUUCAACUUCUUCAACAUCCUCAUGGUCUCCAACUUCUUCACUUGUAGUGGCUUCGACAUCAGCGGAAAUAGGAUUUGAAGUACCAGAGGCAACUUUCUCAAGCUCCACCUGUUGGACAUCUUUCACAAUUUUCUCAGAGUCUUUGAACAUACUUUCUUCAUCAAAUGUCACAUCUCUGCUGAUUACAAGUUUUUUCAUCUCUGGGCACCACAACCUGUAACCUUUGACACCCACUACUAAAACCAAGAAAGAUAGCCUUUUUGGCUCUAGGAUCAAGUUUAUUUUCAGUCACAUGAAAAUAAGCAGGUGAACCAAAAAUACGGAUAUAGUCAUAAUCAGAAGAAGAUUUUCCAGUCCAUACCUCCAUUGGUGUCUUACCCUGAAUAGCAGCUGAGGGUAACCGGUUGAUGAUGUGACAUGCAUAAUUAACUGCUUCUGCCCAAAAUGACUUGCUCAAACCCGACUGAGACAACAUACAUCUAACCUUCUCAAGCAAGGUUCGAUUCAAUCUUUCUGCAACUCCAUUUUGUUGUGGAGUUCCCCGAAUACUGAAAUGUCUCACAAUUCCUUCCUCUUUGCAAACUUUAAAGAAAGGAUCGGAUGUGUAUUCACCACCAUUAUCCGAUCUCAAAAUCUUAAUCUUUCUCCCAGUCUGGUUCUCAACCAUUUUCUUCCAACCCAAGAAAAUGUUUAACACCUCACUCUUGUGCUUCAUAGUGUAGACCCAAGACCUUCUUGAAUAAUCAUCAACAAAGGUCACGAACCAAUGUCUACCACUCAAAGAGGGAGUCUUUGUAGGACCCCAAACAUCUGAAUGCACAUAAUCAAGAAUGCCCUUCGUCUGAUGUACAGCAGUACCAAACUUCACUCUAGUUUGCUUCCCCAAGACACAAUGCUCGCAGAAAUCAAGCUUACAAGUCGUGGCACCUUUUAGAAGACCUUUUUUCACAAGCCCUUGUAGAGCUUUCUCACCGGCAUGGCCUAAUCUCACAUGCCACAAUCUAGUAGUAUCUGAAUCAGAUGUGCCCAUAUUUUCAGAGACUACAGAUGCUUCACCUGUCACAGUGCUUCCCUGCAAUAAAUACAAAUGGCCACAUCUAGGAGCUUUCAUCACAACAAGUGCACCAUAAGUAACUUUCAAUGUCUGUCCAUCUGAAUGAAACCUGAAACCCUUGGAUUCCAAAGUACCCAAAGAAAUAAGAUUUUUCUUCAAAUUCGGUACAUACCGAACACCUGUCAACUCUUUAACCAUGCCAUCAUGCAACUUCAAACGAACUGUACCAAUCCCUUUUGUUGUGCAAGGAUUGUCAUCUCCCAUGAACACAACGCCACCAUCAAACUCUUUCAAGCUUGAAAACCAAUCCUUGUGAGGAGUCAUAUGAUGAGUACAACCCGUAUCCAACACCCACUUAGUAGCACAAUCAAAUGAUGAAGAAGUGGUUAAAGCAAAAUCAGAAAAAUCUGUUUCAACCUCAGCAACAUUAGCUUCAGAACUUUCUUUGCCUUUGGUCUUCAAUUUAGGACAAUCUUUCUUCCAAUGGCCCUUAUUACGACAAAAUGCACAUUCAUCCCUUUCCAAAGGUUUUCUACCUUUAGAGUUUCCUCUAGGUCGAGACUGUGAUUUUUUUCUGCUAGAAGAUGACCUCCUCUCCGAUGAUCUACCUCUAACAAAUAAAGCUUCAGAUGUACUAUCAUGAUUUUUAUCUCUAUGCCUCAUUUCAUAAUUCAUCAAGGCAUUUGACACAUCUUCAAAUUUCACAGUUUCUUUACCAUGCAUAAUAGUGGUAACAAAAUGCUCGUAAGAGUCCGGCAAGGAAUUCAACAAUAUUAAGGCCUUAUCUUCAUCCUUAAUAUCCUCAUCUAAAUUUAACAAGUCGGCAAUCAACUUAUUAAAAGCAUCAAGGUGUCUAAUCAUUUUUGUACCUUCUUUGUAUUGGAAGCGGUAGAGUUUUUUCUUCAAGUGUAGCCGGUUCUCUGCACUCUUCGUCAUAUACUUGUCUUCCAAUUUUUGCCACAACACACUUGCUACCGUCUCCCGCAUCACAAAAUACUUCUGAGUUUUUGCAAGGCACAACCGAAUUGAAGAGCAAGCCCACAAAUUUAAUUUCUCCCAUUCCGGCUUCGACAUAGCUUCCGGCUUCUCUCCCAAAGCGGCAAGUAGAUCUUGUUGAGCCAACACAUCUUUGACCUCACAUUGCCACAUCCCGAAGUUGUUUGUGCCAUCAAACUUUUCCACUUCGAACUUUGCAUUUUGCACCGUAGUUCUUGCAAACCCGGAGGUGCUUCCAAAAGGAUUCUCAUCUUGCCCGUCUGACAUCUUUGGCAACUAGACAGUACCCAAGAGCAACCAGUGCUCUGAUACCAAUUGUUGUGCUAGGAUAGCACCAAACCCUUGUGGAACCAACUCAAGCUAACCCACAGGAAAUAUAUCAAAUAAAAUGCAAGAACAAAAUAUUAAAGACACCAAGAUUUUAACGAGGUUCCUCAACAGUCAGUGUAACUGGAGUACGUCCUCGGAGCAGUAGGAGCUCACCCAAGAAUCCACUAUCAACCAAAUGGGAGUUUACAAAGUGUUGGCAAUCUCACAACCCAAAUAACCCAAUAACUCACACUCCAAAGAAACAAAUAGAGAAAGAAAUAUAGUGAUUAAUUUCUUCUCUAUACAAAGCUCAAAGCUAUUACAACAAUAACACUUUGAUGGAGUGAGAAUUAUCCAAUGAAAGGAACAACAACCCCUUCUCUGAAAAUGGUACUGUAGCAGUACCUUCUUCUCUCCCUCUCUUCUCUUCGGCUCUCUCAAUUUUCUGCACUCUAUUUUCUUCUCUUCUAUCCCACUCUUACUUCUCAUUACAACCAAAACUUAUUAUUCAAAACCUCAACCGUGACUUCCCAUGGACCAAGACAAAAAACCUUUUCCCUAUUUUCCUCCCCAAAACAAGGAAAGGUGUUGUCCACCUUUGGUUUGUUUAAUCUAAAGUAUAUGGCCACUUGGCCACAUAAUCCAACA
rnacentral:lncRNA from 1 species